GAGAAGCGAAACCGCGAGGUGGAGCAAAACUAUAAAAGACGAUCUCAGUUCGGACUGCAGGCUGCAACUCGCCUGCACGAAGUUGGAAUUGCUAGUAAUCGUGGAUCAGCAUGCCACGGUGAAUACGUUCCCGGGUCUUGUACACACCGCCCGUCACACCAUGGGAGCCGGUAAUACCCGAAGUCAGUAGUCUAACCGCAAGGAGGACGCUGCCGAAGGUAGGAUUGGCGACUGGGGUGAAGUCGUAACAAGGUAAC
rnacentral:rRNA from 1 species